GGCUUUUUGAAUUUAAUAUAAGGUCUGGCCUGCUCAAUGAGAAAUUAAAUAGCCGCGGUAUUUUGACCGUGCAAAGGUAGCAUAAUCAUUAGUUUUUUAAUUAAAAGCUUGUAUGAAGGGUUUGAUAAGAAAAAGACUGUCUCUGUUUAAAUUUUUAAGAAAUUUAUUUUUAAGUAAAAAAGCUUAAAUUUGUAUUAAAGACAAGAAGACCCUAUAGAGUUUUAUAAUUUAUUUAGUUAAUAUAUUUUAGUAUUAUAAUUAUUUAUUAAGUGAAUUAUUUAAUUGGGGUGAUUGAAAAAUUAAAAAAACUUUUUUUUAGAUAAAUACAUUAAUUUAUGAUUUUAUGAUCCUUAUUAAAGAUUAAAAGAUUAAAUUACCUUAGGGAUAACAGCGUAAUUUUUUUUAGAGUUCUUAUUGAAAAAAAAGAUUGCGACCUCGAUGUUGGAUUAAAAUAUAAUAUUGGUGAAGAAGCUAAUAAAUUGAGUCUGUUCGACUUUUAAAAUUUUACAUGAUCUGAGUUUAAACCGGUGUGA
rnacentral:rRNA from 1 species